CUGAAGCUAGGGAAUUGAAAUCAUUCUAUCAACGGCUAACAACGUGAUUGAAAUUUCGAUAAGAACGACAAUGUUAUGCAAAAGAUAAAAAAUUAGAUUGAUUUAAGAGAUAGGCCCCCUUUACCUGGUCCACCAUCCAGUUUGCUUCCGCAUCUUGCUUUUGCUCUUUGAGAGCCUCCACUACGUCUGUCGAAUGCUCACAGCGCAUGACGUUGAAUCCCCAAGCCGACAGUUUCUUGAGAAGAGAAAAAUACAGUCGGAGUGUUCUGUUCUCCAUCACCAUUAUCGCUGAUGAAGAAGUGAGGAGCUUCUGAGAGGCAGAGUUGCAUCAGGUUGUAACAAAACGCGAUUCCUUCAGUGUCGAAUCACCAGCAGGAGGCUUAAAAAUGGUAGGGAAUGGCAGAAGAAUGAACCGCUUGGUGGCGUUCUUAGUGGUGGUCUGUUCAGCCGUCUCAGGAUGCAGAGCAUGGGACUGCUCGGCAGCGGAUAAACAGACACUGCUAGACUUCAAGAAUGGGUUCGUGGACACGAACGGAGUGUUCAACACCUGGAGUGAUAGCACUGUGAACUGCUGCGCAUGGAAGGGCAUCACAUGUCGCGAGUCAGAUGGCGCAAUUUUGGAGAUCAACAUCGUGGGAUCCUCUGGCACAAACCAGCAGCCAUACCGCAGCCCGAGCUACCAAGGCACAGUUGGCGCAGGGCUGGUGGCGCUCACCCAAUUGCAGAAACUCAAGAUCGAGUGGGUGCUCUUCAACGGCCCCAUCCCUCAGCAGUGGGGAGAUUUCUCCACCACUCUCGUGUUGAUCACCAUCAACAACGCCAACCUCCGCAACGACAUACCCUCCACCCUGGUUAACAUCCAGAACCUACGGCACCUGGACCUCAAGAACAACCACCUUACGGGCUCCAUCCCCUCCACCUUCUGCACGCACAAGAAGAUCAACUACAUCGAUGUCUCCUACAACGACAUGACCUACCUUCUUGUCCCUCCGUGCUUAGUAAACCAAAAUAACCUCACCGUCAUCUUUGAUCACCAGGGUAACAGUACUAGCCCCGGCUAUCCUGCGGCAGGCUCCACCCUCACAGUCUCGUCGUUGCUCCUCGCAAUCGGAGCUCUCACCACUGCUCUCCUCUUCCUCUGAGGAAAUCCACCCCCUUUCCUCGUGGUCAGGCAAACCCUAACUCAUUACUGCAAUACCCAGAACACAGUUCUUGAGAAGGGAAUUUUGAUGCCGUCUCCAUCCCUAACUCUCUCGCUCUCACUCGUGCGCGCGCACGCGGGAUCUCUUCGUUAUGAAAAAAUUAAUAAGUGCCCCGGAGAGAUUUUGUCUGUGAUGUCGGAAUUUGCAGAGGAAUGAAGCAGUCAGGUGCACGUAAUGUCCAAAAGGUAACAAUCGAAUCACAAGGAUAUUGUAGAGUUGUCAAUGGAACCGUGGCUACACGCCAGGAAAAAAGUGAGUACAUAUUGUUUGAUCCUUGGGAUGUAUGCUGUAUUAGUGAAAACCUUUGUCAAGGACAGCGCUACUCUGUUGAAUGUUUAAGCUUAAGCUGGGCUGUAACAUCCAGUUAAGGAAUAAAGCCUUAACUAUUAGUUGUCUCGGCUGUGCGAUUAUCCGAACAUGACUCUCCUGUGAGUGCCGUUGUGAAGGACUCUACACCCAAGAUGUAGACAAUCGUUUCUGUACUGCAACACUAUGUGUCUGGGUUUUAGUUGAAGAUUUGAACAAAUAGACAAGGAUUGGAUAGUAACGUACAAACCUCUUUCUUAACAGUUCUCAGGUGUUCCAAAUUCUGAGUACAACUGCGAAAUUCGGAGCUUGCGCUCCUGAGCAUUCACUUUACAAUUGUUUAAGUUAGUGUAAUUUUUCUGGGUUCAAUGGUCGUGAGGUUCUUGCAUCUGUGCGUGAGAUCUGCUUGCAACAUCUUAGUUGGCAACGACUGUAGGAGAGUACAGUUUCUAGUCCAUCGAAUAGUCUUGAAGCUGCUGGAAAUUGCAGGUCGCAACCAAAUUAAGUGUGGGUCGUGGUUUCUGAUAUAUAAUUGUAACUUUGCUAUAAAAAAUGCCGAAUGAAACAGACCUUCCAAUACCGAAAACCAGACUGGCUCACCAAGACAGACAUCAUAAUACCCACAUAGAUUAGAUUGAUCCAUACCAGCAUUAUUGGGUCCGCCUCUUCGGACGACUUCCCCGCUCGAAACUUCGACAUUUGUUUACGUUUGAUAUUUUACUAGACUUGUACCUUUUGUUUAAUGUUACCCACAUCGGAAAUCCAAACGAUGAGUGCAAAAGAUGGACCACAACUUUCUGUGGGUGCUCACGAACUAAUUUUCCCUUUCCCACAACGUUGGUAACACCAACUGGCUGCGACUACGUCGAUUCUAGUCUUUAGCUGGAAGUAGAGGAUCCUUCAUCAUCAGUCUGAGAGCAUGUGAGGCGUGAUCAGAGGGAAUAGGGUUUUUGGCCUCUGGAGGCUUUCAAACGUAUGGUGAGUAUGGCGUGACUUGUAGGGAAUUUAGAUGAUUCGAAUUCCGAAGUAGAACGAUGAUAGAAGACGUGAUGAAGACCAAAUUUUGAGCAUUUUUCUUUUUUUUCUUUCAUUUUUCCCCUUUUUUCCACUUAGAAUUGCACCUGGUUCUUCUGAUUCAAGAUGCUACAAGGAAUGGGGUUGAGGUUAGACAGGGCAGGGAGUUUCGGAAGUAGGUCCGGGGCUGUAAAACCUCUGGUACACAAGCAUGGAUUUCGCGUUGCUGUGACUGCGUCUACGAAGGUGAGGCCCAAAAUUAUGCGCCUAAAGCAGGAUGAGAUUGGAGCAGUGCUACCGUGGACGGGCUCCGGGGAGCAGAGGCUACAGAAGCUGGGCACUCCAUCGACAUGGCUGGCGCGGCUGGCGAUCUCACUUGCAGGCUCCGUGUUGUUCUACAAUUACAACACCAUGGCUGCUGCCAUGGCGUCCUUGUACUGGGCUUGGGAUCCCGUUCUGAGCACCACCUUUGCCAAUACCUUCCUCCGGCUUCAGUACCCCUAUGCAGGGCUUUGGAGAGCCCGCGUGCUCGCCGUGAAGGUGGUGAAGCCUGCGCGAAGACCGCGGAGCGACGAUGUGUUUCAAGAAAUUUUUGAAUCACAAGCCCCUGUUAAACCCUUUCUGAAACUUGUAAUUGGAGAUGGGAGCUCAGCUACUCUCGAGAUGAAGGUAGUGAUGCCGAGCAAGAAGAACCAGGUGCAAGUUGGCGAGCUAGUGGAGGUUCUCGUCUUGUCUGAUAUCAAAAGCCUAUCCCGCUUCAUGGCCGUUCGUGACGUCUACCUCCCAGACAUGGAUCUUUGGCUUUCAGAGGAUCCUUGCAUUGAGCGGCCGCUGUUUGAAGAUUUAGUCCAGACCCUGAGAGCAGGCUCGUCUUCUUCGUCUCUCGUACCUCCAGCUGUGAAGGGGCGAGACACGCAAUCCGUGAAGGCCAGGGUACCGGAGUCCAUAGAUAUGCUACCGGAGAGUAGCUUAGAUCGAAGGGAAUUUGACAAGGAUUUUCUCGCUCCCGAACCGCAGACUGCGAGGAGAUGGCGGCUGACGCAGCUAGAUUACGAGGAAUUUGAGCCUGUUGUGGAGGAUGAUCCGAAGCUUCAGGCUUUGAGAAGAUUAAAUCGAACGCAGACAGAGGGAGAGUUUCCAGUACGUGCACAAGCAGAUACGUAUGAUCCACCGAUGAAAUUUACACGGAUUCAAGAUAGCAAUUCCUACUCUCAGGAUUUUUGGGAGCAAGACAACAGCAAUACACAGAGCGAUUCGCAACCAAAUCAAUCGCAGGUAUCCGCUUCUGACGAGGAUUUUGCACAGAAAUCUGUCGAUACCGAGAGCGAUAAUGUAGAAGAAGAGUCGAAGAUCCAACCUUUGAGGAGAUUAAUCCCAAAGCAAAGGUUUGGAUUACAAGCAGAUGGCUAUGGUCCGCCAAUGGAGUAUGUGAGGAUGCAGGAAGACGGAAGAGAGACGGGUGGAGAAGAGACGAGUGAAGCUUCUAGUAACGAGGGUAAUACAUCACAGAUACCUGAUGAGGAUUUGAAGUCGAUGGAAGAUGAGCAGUUGACAACAGUUGGUGAAUUUCUAGGGAGCGGGUUUAAUGAAGUACAAAUUAGGGUCCCGGAGGUUGAGGUUGUGCAAGAGGAAGAGGUUUGAUUUCUAAGAUGAGAUUGAACAUGUAGCACUAGAUUUGAGACCGGUAGGGCUGGAGACAUUGAAGCAUUAACGCCUUCACGGUUGAGGUUUACGAGAGAAUCUUUGAACAUUGCAGACAUUGUAGUGAAUUAGAUUUUCAGCAGGUCUGAAGCCAACCAGGACACAUGAACGUGAGGUGGAUCGGUACAGCAGGCGUAACAUGGAUGAGUACAUGAAUUGAUGGUGCUUCUAAAAGCUUUGUUCAUAAUUCCCAAGGGACGACAAUGGUGAGGUCCUGGCGACUGGUAGGAGCAUAACUUGCAAAGAAGGAAAUAGCAAAACGUUCUAUCUUUCAUAUCCAAGAAUUCUUUGCAGGGCAGGGUGACGAACGAUCACGUCGCUUGGCCUUCUCUAGAAGAUGAUAGAUGUGCAGAUCUCUGCCCAAUUUCUGAGGUUUAGGGUAGGAGAAUGGAAGCUGCCCAUGAAAUUUUUAUGCACAACCACACUAAUCUUGCAGAUAUUUAAAUGUAUUUACUUGCAGAAAUACCAGUAUUUCAUGAGAACGGAACGUGCUUAGCGUGUGCAAUGAACAAUGCCACGAGUAAAUGAAACGGCAGUUCCAAGUAUUUUGAGAUUGCUCAAGAAGAGAGUGCUACAGCUGAAUAAGGGGCUCUUAUAAUUCAGAAGGACUUCUGAAAGAACCGAAUGUAAAGGGCCACUCGGCUGCCUUGAUAGCUUGUGCAA